AGAUAGUUGGCAGGGUAACGGCCUACCAAGUCUGCGAUCCAUAGCCGAACUGAGAGGUUGAACGGCCACAUUGGAACUGAGAAACGGUCCAGACUCCUACGGGAGGCAGCAGUGGGGAAUAUUGGGCAAUGGGCGAAAGCCUGACCCAGCGACGCCGCGUGAGGGAAGAAGGUCUUCGGAUUGUAAACCUCUUUCAGCAGGGAAGAAGAAAGUGACGGUACCUGCAGAAGAAGUCACGGCUAACUACGUGCCAGCAGCCGCGGUAAUACGUAGGUGGCGAGCGUUAUCCGGAAUUACUGGGUGUAAAGGGUGUGUAGGCGGGGUGUCAAGUCAGAUGUGAAAACUGUGGGCUCAACCCACAAACUGCAUUUGAAACUGAUACUCUUGAGAGUGGGAGAGGUAAACGGAAUUCCUGGUGUAGUAGUGAAAUGCGUAGAUAUCAGGAGGAACACCGGUGGCGAAGGCGGUUUACUGGACCACAACUGACGCUGAGACACGAAAGCGUGGGGAGCAAACAGGAUUAGAUACCCUGGUAGUCCACGCUGUAAACGAUGAAUACUAGGUGUGGGGAUCGUAGGAUUUCCGUGCCGCAGUUAACGCAAUAAGUAUUCCACCUGGGGAGUACGGCCGCAAGGUUGAAACUCAAAGGAAUUGACGGGAGCCCGCACAAGCAGUGGAGUAUGUGGUUUAAUUCGACGCAACGCGAAGAACCUUACCGGAGCUUGACAUCCUCGGAAGACCGAUGUAAAGUUGGUUGUGCUCCUUCGGGAGAACCGAGAGACAGGUGGUGCAUGGUUGUCGUCAGCUCGUGUCGUGAGAUGUUGGGUUAAGUCCCGCAACGAGCGCAACCCUUAUGUUUAGUUGCUACGAAAGAGCACUCUGGACAGACUGCCGUUGACAAAACGGAGGAAGGUGGGGACGACGUCAAAUCAUCAUGCCCCUUACGCUCCGGGCUACACACGUACUACAAUGGUGAGAACAAAGGGAAGCUAAGCCGCGAGGCGGAGCGAACCCCAUAAAAAUCAUCCCAGUUCGGACUGCAGGCUGCAACUCGCCUGCACGAAGUUGGAAUUGCUAGUAAUCGCGGAUCAGCAUGCCGCGGUGAAUACGUUCCCGGGCUUUGUACACACCGCCCGUCAAACCAUGAAAGUUGGGAACACCCGAAGCCUGUGUUCUAACCGCAAGGAGGAAGCAGUCGAAGGUGGGUUCAAUGAUUGGGGUUAAGUCGUAACAAGGUAGCCGUAUCGGAAGGUGCGGCUG
rnacentral:rRNA from 1 species